CAAUCUCAGCUCACUGCAACCUCCUACUCCUGGGUUCAAGAGAUUCUCCUGCUUCAGCGUCCCAAGUAGCUGGGAUUACAGGAGCCCUCAGGUGAUCUGGCCGCCUCGGCCUCCCAAAGUGCUGGGAUUACAGGUAUGAGCCACUGCACCCAGCCACUCCCUCAUUUUUCAAGAGGCUCCACCAAAGGGAACACCCACCCAGGUUGGCAGGACGCAUACCUGGAACCAAAUCCUCACCACAACCACUUUAAAUCCCCCUGAAGUGGGGUUAACCACCAGAAACUUCCCCCUAAACACUUGGCCUUUGGUAGCUUUGGAUUAUAUAUGACUCUUAUAUUAAGACAUUUUAAACUUUUUUUUUCAGUGACUUUUUCCUCUUUGUAAUUAGAGGUAAGGAGGAGGAUUUUG
rnacentral:lncRNA from 1 species